GUCUCCGUGGCGCAAUCGGUUAGCGCGUCUGACUGUUAUGACACAGUUCAUCAGGAGGUUGACAGUUCGAUCCUGUCCGGGGACG
rnacentral:tRNA from 1 species